rnacentral:rRNA from 1 species
AGUGAACGCUGGCGGUAGGCCUAACACAUGCAAGUCGAACGGCAUCACAGUAAUAGCUUGCUCUUACGGGUGUCGCGUGGCGGACGGGUGAGUAAUACUUCGGAAUCUACUUUUUCGUUUGGGAUAACGUAGGGUAAGUUACGCUAAUACCGCAUUCGACCUCCGUGUGAAAGCCGGGGUUCUUUUAACCUUUUGCGAUUGUAUGAGCCGAUGUCGGAUUAGCUAGUUGGCGGGGCAAAGGCACACCCAGGCGACGAUCCGUAGCUGGUCUGAGAGGAUGAUCAGCCAGAUGGGAACUGAGAAACGGUCCAGACUCCGACGGGAGGAAGCAGUGGGGAAUAUUGGACAAAGGGCGCAAGCCUGAUCCAGCCAUACCGCGUGGGUGAAGAAGGACUUCGGGUUGGAAAGCCCUUUUGUUGGGAAAGAAAAGCAGCAGGUUAAUACCCCGCUGUUCUGACGGUACCCAAAGAAUAAGCACCGGCUAACUUCGUG